GCCUUCCGAAUUGUAGUCUAGAAAGGCGCCAUCGGCCGCGUCCGUCGCUCAAAUCCCUUGGAACGGGGUAUCGGAGAAGGUGAGAAUCCUGUGCCGUGGCGGAUAGCGGUCGCACGAUGCGUCCUUGUCGAGUCGGGUUGCUUGGGAUUGCAGCUUGAAGUGGGUGGUAAAUUCCAUCUAAAGCUAAAUACUGGCGAGAGACCGAUAGCGAACAAGUACCGUGAGGGAAAGAUGCAAAGAACUUUGAAAAGAGAGUUAAAGAGUGCUUGAAAUCGGCAAGAGGAAACCCGUUUGCGCCCGGCCUCGCGUCGUCGACUCAGCCGUUCUUUUGAGCGGUGCACUUUGUCGUCGCGGGUCAGCGUUCGCUCUUUCGGCGUGACACGGCGUACCGCAGGGCCUUUUGGCGAUCGGUUCGCACUCUCGCGGGAGGGGCGUUAGCUGACGGAACGGGCGCAACCGACCCGUCUAGAAACACGGACCAAGGAGUCUGACACGUGUGCGAGUACCCGGGUGGCAAGCCCGCGUGCGUAAUGAAAGUGAAGGGCGUGCCCCGCCAACCGACCUUGAUCUUCUGUGAAGGGUUUGAGUGUAGCACAUGCGUCGGGACCCGAAAGAUGGUGAACUAUGCCUGAGGAGGGUGAAGCCAGAGGAAACUCUGGUGGAGGCUCGUAGCGAUACUGACGUGCAAAUCGUUCGUCGAACUUGGGUAUAGGGGCGAAAGACUAAUCGAACCAUCUAGUAGCUGGUUCCCUCCGAAGUUUCCCUCAGGAUAGCUUGAACGCCGACGGUUUUGU
rnacentral:rRNA from 1 species